rnacentral:lncRNA from 1 species
UGUGCAUCAAAGAUGACAGUGUAAGGACUGAGAAAGGGGAGGUGGUGAAAGCUGCCGGUGGACUCGGAAUGAUUCUGGCAAAUGCAGCAGGGAGCGGAGAAGAAGUUCUGGCGGAUGCUCAUGUGUUACCUGUGACCGCCGUGGGACAGAAAGCCGGUGACAUUAUCCGUCGCUACGUCUUGACCGAUCCGAAUCCCACCGCUUCCAUUUUGAUCAGAGGAACGGUCGUGAACGUCCGGCCAUCUCCGAUGGUUGCCGCGUUUAGCUCGCGGGGACCUAAUACGAUAACGCCAAACAUUCUCAAACCGGAUUUGAUAGCUCCUGGAGUCAAUAUCCUCGCCGCAUGGACCGGAGCUCUGGGUCCCAGUGGACUCGGAACCACUUCCGAUACUCGUCGCGUGGAAUUCAACAUCAACUCGGGAACGUCCAUGUCUUGCCCUCACGUGAGCGGUUUAGCGGCUCUCCUCAAGUCUGUGCAUCCGGAAUGGAGCCCCGCGGCAAUUCGAUCGGCUCUCAUGACCACCGCUUACAAUACCUACAAAGACGGCAAACCGAUCCUCGACGUCGCGACGGGAAAACCUUCAACACCGUUCGAGCACGGUGCAGGACACGUGUCGCCCACGGCGGCCGUCAAUCCAGGACUCAUCUACGAUCUAACGACGGAGGAUUAUAUAGAUUUCAUCUGCGCAUCGAAUUAUAAUUCGUCGCUGAUCACAAUCAUAUCGAGAGGCAAUUACGCUUGUCCAAGAAAAACGCACCCCGCAGCUGAUCUAAACUAUCCGUCGUUCGCCGUUAACGUCAAAGGAUCCGGCACGUACAAGUACACCCGCACUGUCACAAACGUGGGAGGAGCUGGGUCAUACUCGGUUAAAGUAACGUCGGAGACAACGGCAGUCAAGAUUUCGGUUGAACCGGCGGUUUUGAAUUUCAAAGAAGUGAACGAGAAGAAAUCGUAUUCGGUAACGUUUACCGUUAUCUCAUCUAAGGCGCCAAUGUCUAACAGCUUCGGGAGCAUUGAAUGGUCAGAUGGGAAACACGUGGUGGCCAGUCCCGUGGCGAUUAGCUGGACAUAGGUGGUCCAUGAAGAAAUAUGGCGACUUGAGUAAGAAGAAAGCAACAGAUAUUGUAAUUUCUCAUGAGCCUUGGAUAUUUAAUGAAAAGUAAAAAAUUGGUAAGUACUAUUUUAGCUGGCUAGUGUGUUAUGAAUAUUCUUAUUUACUAGGCUGUGGACAUUGUAGAUACUGACAAUUAUUAGAUUAGUUUAUGAGAUAUGAAAUAUACUAGGCACUUGAUUCACGUUGCAUGAAUGUGAACCACUCAACGUAGGAAACUAUCACUAAUCAAAUACAUCUAGUGUAUCAUAACAAUGUGAUUACGAUGAGUUAAAAAAUAUGAAUCUAAUAACAUAGAGAAAAAGUAGAAACGACUCUAAGAGCUAAUCAUAACCAACUAGAGGUUUCAUUUCAAGAACCAACAAUAACAAGUUCAUAAACAUGAGGUAAUAAAAGAUAUCAAUCGAAAUAAAUACCUAUCUUCAAACAAACUAUAAAAAUGUAUGGCUUUUGUUAAAAGCAAACUCACCUCUUUCCAGUACACAAAUUUGCAGAGAAAAAUCCAAAAAAAAAAAGAAAAGGAUAAAACAAAUUCACGAAUAGUAACUCAAUUUUGAUCAACGUCCAAUUAAAACCCUGAUAUGUAAUUUUAUUUUCAGAAACCCAUCGUGGCAUUAUCACUCAGAGACUAAUACAAUUGGACCAACCUGCCAGCUUCUGAUGUUGCUAUAUUUUUAUUUUUUUUCUGUUUUAUAAAAAUAAAAACUAAUGUUAAAAGAGAGAAUGUAUCCCUGUAUUGUUAACUAUUGAUAUGAUUUAGUUAGUCUGAUCUGAUGUGAAGACAUGUUAAUUCAUACCAUACAAACCAAAGUCUCAAAUUGCCACCCACAUUAUUUGGAUCCCAACCGUCAAAAGCAUUGGUUAGUUGGUGUCUUCGACGAAACUCAUUGAGAUCUUUGCAAAGUAGUUCGUUUCUUUGCUUCUGUCUUGUGAUGAGCCUUAAAGAUAUUAAUAGACUCACAACUUACAUAAACCCUAAACCUGAUUUUAAAGUUGAGGAGGAUCAUGAACUUUAAAGAUAUUAAUAGACUCAUAACUUUGCUUCUGUUUUGUGAUAAGUUACAGCAGCCGGACUAGGAUCUUCCACCAAUGAACCGAUGCAUGGCUCACACUAAUUUGCUUCUCUUAUCUAAAACAAAUUUCGGGGAAAUAAAGCGAUGAGUAGAGCUUAUUGAUGAUUUCCUCACUCCGCUCAGUCUCAGAAUCCGCUGAAAUGAUCUACACCUACAACAAUGCGAUACAUGGAUUCGCCACUCGGCUUACUCCCGGAGAAGCCGACUCACUCAUGACCCAACCUGGUGUCAUCUCGGUUCAACAAGAGCAGAAGUACGAGUUACACACCACUCGAACUCCAUUAUUCCUUGGUCUCGACGGACAAAACGCAGGACUAUUCCCCGAAACCGGCGCCUCAAGCGACAUAGUCAUAGGAGUUCUGGACACCGGUAUUUGGCCAGAGAGCAAAAGCUUCUCUGAUGAAGGAUACGGUCCAAUUCCAUCUACAUGGAAAGGCGAAUGCCAGGCUGGGACUAACUUCACCGCUUCGCUGUGUAACCGCAAACUAAUCGGAGCUAGAUUCUUCUCUGACGGUUACGAAAGAGAUUAUGGAAAAAUCAACCAAGCCGACGAGUCGAAAUCGCCGAGAGACGACUUCGGUCAUGGAACACACACGGCGUCAACCGCGGCUGGAAACGUCGUGAAAGGAGCUAAUUAUUUAGGCUUUGCUAGUGGGACGGCUAGUGGGAUGGCUCAUCGCGUCCGAGUGUCUGUUUACAAAGUUUGUUGGAAAAGUGCUUGCGUGAGCUCAGAUAUUUUAGCUGGAAUGGAUAAAGCCAUCGAAGAUAAUGUCCACAUUAUGUCAUUAUCUAUCGGUGGUAAAUCGACAAGUUAUACAGGCGAAAUUUCCAUGGGUGCAUUCUCGGCCAUGGAAAGAGGGAUCUUUGUUUCCUGCUCUGCUGGUAAUGAUGGUCCCAGCCCAUCCAGCUUAUCAAACGCAGCUCCCUGGAUUACUACUGUUGGUGCUAGUAGUAUUGACCGUGAGUUUCCCGGGGUUGUGAUCCUCGGCAACGGAAAGAACUAUACUGGAGUUUCGUUGUUCAAUGGAAAUGCUCUUCCUGCUAAAUUGUUGCCGUUUGUUUAUGGAAAUUAUUGUAGCCGCGGAACACUAAAUCCUGAGAAGGUAAAGGGGAAGAUCGUGAUGUGCAUCAAAGAUGACAGUGUAAGGACUGAGAAAGGGGAGGUGGUGAAAGCUGCCGGUGGACUCGGAAUGAUUCUGGCAAAUGCAGCAGGGAGCGGAGAAGAAGUUCUGGCGGAUGCUCAUGUGUUACCUGUGACCGCCGUGGGACAGAAAGCCGGUGACAUUAUCCGUCGCUACGUCUUGACCGAUCCGAAUCCCACCGCUUCCAUUUUGAUCAGAGGAACGGUCGUGAACGUCCGGCCAUCUCCGAUGGUU